rnacentral:sRNA from 1 species
GAAGGCAACGCGGUGGACCUGGGCCAGAUGAGCAGCUUCUACAUCGGCCUGGGUUCCCGCCUCCACUGCAAUAUCUUCUCCUACCACUACUCCGGCUACGGUGCCAGCUCGGGCAGGCCCUCCGAGACGAACCUCUGCGCCGACAUCAACGCCGCCUGGCAGGCCCUGCGCACCAGGUGAGGGCGACCCCGGGGGCGGCUCAGCCUGGGCACACCCGAGAGGGGACCAGGCUGGGGGCCGGGGGCCGGGGGAAGGGGCGGGCUUCCCUGGGAGGAAGGUGGGCGGCCCUGCAGGAGGGGAGCCACAGUGGACGCAUGCGGCCAGAGAGCCGGACAGGUGAGCUCAGGCAUGCGGGUGCCGCCUCCACAUGGCUGAGGUGUGGCCAGGCGGUCCCCCCACACCCUGGCCUGUGGACCCAGGCUCCCUGGGAUGCCCUGGCCUGAGGACAGGAAGGGGCUGAGCUUGUCACAGGGGCGUGGACGCCACCCGGCGGGAGGGGGUGGGUGGUGUCAGGGGGUCUGUGCACGUGUGGCUGGGAGCCCACGGGCCGAGGCAGCACUUGUGGCCAGGUGAGGUGAGGCUGCUGCAUCGAGGUCCAGAGGCCUGGCCCAUGAGGCCCCGUGGCUGUGGAGUUCGGCCAUCCCGGGGCAGGGCCUGCAGGGUCAGGUGCAGACCCCCAGCACACACCUGAGGUCUCGGCCAGCCUCGAUUCCAGAUCCAUCCCUGCUAAUCAUCCAGGUCCCCAGCCCUGCGCUUGCCUGGGCCCUUCACUGGUGUUUGAGCACCGCCCGGGCCAGUGCUGCUCUGGACCAGAAGACCCGCGUGGGCCUCUGGAGGCCUUUCCUGCUCGCCACCCGCUGGGGCUGUCUCGUCCUGGCCCUGCCCUGCCCAGCCCAGUGGUCGACCCGCUCCUGCAGGGGCCAGGCGCAGCUCUGAGAAGUCAGAGGCCCUAGGGAGGUGGGGUCCUCGUUGCCUUGGCGAUAUCCCAGGCAGUCCCUGCCGUGGGCCUGGGAGCUGGGUCCCCUGGCACCAACCUGGCUCUGGGGGCCUUCCGGCAGUGUGGGGCGCCGAAACCAAGCACCACUUCACGUAGCUUCCUCGGCCCCCUCCUGUCUCUACUGCCCGGGGCACUGGCAGAGUCACAGCCCCCAUGGCCAGCUCUGAGCUCUGUCUGCUCGGCCAUCUGUCCUGCUGCCGCUUUGUCCUGCAGGAUCCUCUGCCCAGAGCCCUGAGGGGGAGGCCAGAUCGCUCUCAGGGCCUCCACUGAGGAUGUCUCUUGUUUGAUUGUCUGAGUGGUGACAUCCAGGUGGCAGCUGGGGGCUCCUGCCUGGAGCAGGUGACAGGGCUGGGCUGGCUCAGCACACUACUGGCCUUGGCUGCCAGGGAGCAGGCCAGGGAGGCUGAGGCAGAGCUGGGGCCACAGGCACAAGCCAGGCAGCAUCCUUUGGGGCAUGGGUACCGCAUCAGCCCGGACAGCAUCAUCCUGUACCGGCAGAGCAUGGGCACGGUGCCCACCGUGGACCUGGCCUCGCGCUAGGAGUCCGCCACGGUGGUGCUGCACUCGCCGCUCACCUUGGACCUGAGCGUCGCCUUCCCCACACCAAGAAGACCUACUGCUUGGAUGCCUUCCCCAAAAUCCAGAAGGUGUCCAAGAUCACGUCGCCCGUGCUCAUCAUCCAGGGCACGAAAGACGAGGUGAUCGACUUCUCGCACGGGCUGGCGCUCUACCAGCGCUGCCCCAAGGCCUGUGGAGCCGCUGUGGGUGGAGGGCGCCGGGCACAAAGACAUCUAGCUCUACAGCCAGUACCUGGAGCGCCUGCGCCGCUUCAUCUCCCAGGAGCUGCGCAGCCAGAGCGCCUAGCGGCCGCAGGGGCCCCAACCGGCCGGACCUCAGCAAUAAGGCGGCCCCCGGACCUCACCCCGCGCCGGGCCCCCAGGGACUGCAUGCGGACCCCCUAGCGGCCCGGGGGACCCCGCCCCGUCCCAGGGGCCGUGGACGAUGUACAGGCAACAGAGCUACGCACUCCUUUCCUUUUGGAAGCAAGAAGAAAAAUCGUGAAAACGGAAAUUAAAGAUUUAAUUUU